GUUUUAAUAAUUUAAGUAAAAUACUGGUCUUGUAAGUCAGCAAUAAGACAUUUCUUUUAAAACU
rnacentral:tRNA from 1 species